rnacentral:rRNA from 1 species
AGAGUUUGAUCAUGGCUCAGAACGAACGCUGGCGGCGCGUCUUAAGCAUGCAAGUCGAGCGGUAAGAUAGUAGCUUGCUAUUAUCCUAGAGCGGCGGACUGGUGAGUAACGCGUGGGUGACGACCCUUUUGACGGGGAUAGCCUGUGGAAACACAGGGUAAUACCGGAUAAGCUGGCUUGUGUCAGAGGCAAGUCAGGAAAGGUCUUUUGAACCGCGAAAGGAGCGGCCCGCGUGCUAUUAGUUAGUUGGCGGGGUAACGGCCCACCAAGACGACGAUAGCUACCCGGCCUAAGAGGGUGAACGGGCACAUUGGGACUGAGAUACGGCCCAGACUCCUACGGGAGGCAGCAGCUAAGAAUAUUCCGCAAUGGACGAAAGUCUGACGGAGCGACGCCGCGUGGAUGAUGAAGGCCGGAAGGUUGUAAAAUCCUUUUGGAAGCGAGGAAUAAUUAAAGUGAGAGAAACGCUUUGAGGUGACGGUAGCUUCUGAAUAAGCAACGGCUAAUUACGUGCCAGCAGCAGC